rnacentral:lncRNA from 1 species
UUUCACUCUAACUCAGCAUCUUUCAUCAGGAAAGGAGCUCUGAGAAUCAUUAACACUCUGGGGAUAGUGGCUUGCUGGGGCUUGUACCAGGAAAGCAGUGAGUAAAUAUGAAAUUGAGCCUGGAGGACAAAUGCAGAAUUUGGAACCAGAGCCAAGGUUAGUUACUGAGCAUGAGGGUGGUUGACCAAGUGGUAGCUGAGUCUGGGGGGCUGGUG